CCUACGGGUGGCUGCAGUGAGGAAUAUUGGUCAAUGGCCGAGAGGCUGAACCAACCAAGUCGCGUGAGGGAAGACGGCCCUACGGGUUGUAAACCUCUUUUGUCGGGGAGCAAAGCGAACCACGUGUGGUUCAUUGAGAGUACCCGAAGAAAAAGCAUCGGCUAACUCCGUGCCAGCAGCCGCGGUAAUACGGAGGAUGCGAGCGUUAUCCGGAUUUAUUGGGUUUAAAGGGUGCGCAGGCGGAAGCGGCAAGUCAGCGGUAAAAUUGCGGGGCUCAACCUCGCCGAGCCGUUGAAACUGCUCUUCUAGAGUGGGCGAGAAGUAUGCGGAAUGCGUGGUGUAGCGGUGAAAUGCAUAGAUAUCACGCAGAACUCCGAUUGCGAAGGCAGCAUACCGGCGCCCAACUGACGCUCAUGCACGAAAGCGUGGGUAUCGAACAGGAUUAGAUACCCGAGUAGUC
rnacentral:rRNA from 1 species